GGGAAUCUGAGGAAUUUCCAAAUGAAAGGAGAAGGUUUUUCUUUUAAUGCGAUUAAAGUUUUCCAUCUCACUGCAUCUCCUGCAGACAGUUCGACUCCGGGAGCAACAUCCCUCAAGAGUGUUAGAGUGUGGCACUUCCAAUGGAAGGGAAUGGGGCCAAUCUGUAAACUUUAAGAUAUCAAGAAACCUUCAUCCGUGAAUUCAUCCAUGUGUGCUGUCCUCUGUGACUCAUGAACCUCAGUUUAGGUUUGUGUGGGUACAGAAAUGGCCUUUCGAUUUAAGGGUCUCUAUAUGUUCUCUACAUCUGCGUCUGCGGAGUGGGAGUGUGUGGAGAUUCUGGUCUCAUUCAGGAAGAUCAAUUUGAGGAUGUCCUUGUGUUUACUGGGGUCAUGUAAGUGUAUGUUUGCCAUAUGUAGCAGGUUUUGGAUUUAAACCGAAGAUUUUGAGCUGUGAUAAAAAGAGAAUUUAUGCGAUACCUCAAAAACCGCGGCUCCCAUUUCAUCGAACAAAUUAUUUCAUCUUGCACCUCAAAAGAACUUCACAAAAUGCCUCAACAAUUACCUCACAACCCCAAACUAAUUUCUCCUCUUUGUUAUGGCAACACGGGGGUUUUUCAGCUCUGAAGGGACCACUAAGAACGCUCUCUCUCUCUUUCAAACUCACUCACUUAAACACACACCCAGCAGGAUUCUCCUCCCAGCAUGCACUUCUGUGUGCAAACACAUUCCCUUAGCCGCUGACCCCCGGCCCAGCUGUUACUAUGGCAACCAGAGCCCCUCUCCAUGACGACUGCUACCACCUCCCCAUGGCUCAGCCCAGGCCAGGGAUCUCCAGGUGACCAGUCCCGCUUUUUCUCUUUUUCUUUCCUUUUCAUUUGUUUUCACUUUUUUGGUUUUUGUUCCGCUGUUUUUUCCCACUGGUCAUCCGUCCCCUCACUUUUUUUCCAUCCUCCUUUCGUAUAUUUCUCUCUUUCUUGUGCUUUCUACUUGUCACGUUUAAUUAAAAUUUACAAGAUUUUGGUGGCACAAUUUCAGGUAGUAACUUCUUUUUACCAACUUUUCAAAAACUCUCAGAGCUGUAUAUAAAUUACACAGUUACAUUUGUUUGAUCAUGAAUACAGAUAAUAUUGUGAAAUAUUACAAUAUAAUAUAACUGUUUCUAUUUUAAUGUUUUCAAAUGUAAUUCAUUCCUGGCAAAGUUGAAUUUUCAGCGUUAUUACUCCAGUCUUCAGUGUCACAUGAUCUUUCAGAAAUAAUUCU